rnacentral:tRNA from 1 species
UACAAUUUGGUGUAUAGGCAUGUAAAAUUUUGAUUUUUGAGGAAAAGGUUCAAUUCCUUUUUUUGUAA